rnacentral:rRNA from 1 species
AUUGAACGCUGGCGGCAUGCUUUACACAUGCAAGUCGAACGGCAACGCGGAGAAGCUUGCUUCUCUGUCGGCGCGUGGCGAACGGGUGAGUAUAGCAUCUGAACGUCUCAAGUAGUGGGGGAUAACACAACGAAAGACUGGCUAUUACCGCGUAAGCUCCAAGGAGGAGAGUAGGGGACCUAAAUAAAGCCUUACGCUAUUUGAUCGGCCGAUGUCGGAUUAGCUAGUUGGUGGGGUAAUGGCUCACCAAGGCAAUGAUCCGUAGCGGGUCUGAGAGGAGGAUCAGCCACACUGGAACUGAGACACGGCCCAGACUCCUACGGGAGGCAGCAGUGGGGAAUUUUGGACAAUGGGGGAAAGCCUGAUCCAGCCAUGCCGCGUGUAUGAAGAAGGCCUUAGGGUUGUAAAGUACUUUUGUUAGGGAAGAAAAGCUAGUGUUUAAUAAAAAGUAGUGAUGACGGUACCUAAAGAAUAAGCACCGGCUAACUACGUG